rnacentral:rRNA from 1 species
UACGAAGGGGGCUAGCGUUGCUCGGAAUCACUGGGCGUAAAGGGUGCGUAGGCGGGGCUUUAAGUCAGGGGUGAAAUCUUGGAGCUCAACUCCAGAACUGCCUUUGAUACUGAAGAUCUUGAGUCCGGGAGAGGUGAGUGGAACUGCGAGUGUAGAGGUGAAAUUCGUAGAUAUUCGCAAGAACACCAGUGGCGAAGGCGGCUCACUGGCCCGGUACUGACGCUGAGGCACGAAAGCGUGGGGAGCAAACAGG